rnacentral:rRNA from 1 species
UACGUAGGAUGCAAGCGUUGUCCGGAUUUACUGGGCGUAAAGGGCGCGUAGGCGGCAAUUCAAGUCAGUUGUGAAAUCUCCGAGCUUAACUCGGAACGGUCAACUGAUACUGUUUUGCUAGAGUACAGAAGGGGCAAUCGGAAUUCUUGGUGUAGCGGUGAAAUGCGUAGAUAUCAAGAGGAACACCUGAGGUGAAGACGGGUUGCUGGGCUGAUACUGACGCUGAGGCGCGAAAGCUAGGGUAGCAAACGGGG